rnacentral:miRNA from 1 species
AGGGGGGGGACAGAAAGAGGAGAGGAGGACGGAACGGGGCAGGCGUGGCUCACCAAACAUUGAUCCUGAGCUCCGCCCUCAGCGCACUGGUUGGACA